GGCUUGCAUGGGGGACUGG
rnacentral:miRNA from 1 species